UGGGGAAACCCAGUGUGACUCGUCACACUAUCAUUAACUGAAUCCAUAGGUUAAUGAGGCGAACCGGGGGAACUGAAACAUCUAAGUACCCCGAGGAAAAGAAAUCAACCGAGAUUCCCCCAGUAGCGGCGAGCGAACGGGGAGGAGCCCAGAGCCUGAAUCAGCAUGUGUGUUAGUGGAAGCGUCUGGAAAGGCGCGCGAUACAGGGUGACAGCCCCGUACACAAAAGCGCAUGUGCUGUGAGCUCGAUGAGUAGGGCGGGACACGUGGUAUCCUGUCUGAAUAUGGGGGGACCAUCCUCCAAGGCUAAAUACUCCUGACUGACCGAUAGUGAACCAGUACCGUGAGGGAAAGGCGAAAAGAACCCCGGCGAGGGGAGUGAAAAAGAACCUGAAACCGUGUACGUACAAGCAGUGGGAGCACCCUUUGGG
rnacentral:rRNA from 1 species